rnacentral:rRNA from 1 species
AUGGAGGCGGCGGAUCCAGAGGAGGAGGCGAAGCAGCCUGCUCCGGGGGUCAACAUGGCAGAGGCGGAGGUGGAGUUCGCCGUCGCUCAAACCGCGAAGACGAAGGAGCAGCAGGCUAUGCUGGAGUCCAUCCAAGAUGAGGCCUAUGUGGAGGCCAACCGGCAGUUCCUUCGGCAGGAGCAGGCGGCGUCCGACGCGCUGUUUGCCGAACUCGACAUGGAAAUAGAGGAGGAGGCCGGAGCGAAGCAGCCGGAGCUGCAGCUGCUGCCCAUGUACCCGAAGUCGGGCACGGAGAUUGUCGACAUUUUCGAUGAGGAGUAG